GUCGAGCGAGAAGCUACCUUCGGGUAGUGGACAGCGGCGCACGGGUGAGUAACGCGUACACAAUCUACCUUAUAGAGGAGAAUAGCCCUGGGAAACUGGGAUUAAUGCUCCAUAGUAUUACACUUUGGCAUCAAGGUGUAAUUAAAGCUCCGGCGCUAUAAGAUGAGUGUGCGUACUAUUAGCUAGUUGGUAAGGUAACGGCUUACCAAGGCUACGAUAGUUAGGGGGCGUGAGAGCGUGACCCCCCACACGGGUACUGAGACACGGACCCGACUCCUACGGGAGGCAGCAGUAAGGAAUAUUGGACAAUGGGCGCAAGCCUGAUCCAGCCAUCCCGCGUGGAGGAUGACUGCCCUAUGGGUUGUAAACUCCUUUUAUUUGAGAAGAAACGCCUGGAUUUAUCCGGGCCUGACGGUAUCUUAUGAAUAAGCACCGGCUAACUCCGUGCCAGCAGCCGCGGUAAUACGGAGGGUGCAAGCGUUAUCCGGAAUCACUGGGUUUAAAGGGUGCGUAGGUGGUUUAGUAAGUCAGAUGUGAAAGCCCGGCGCUCAACGUCGGAAUUGCAUUUGAUACUGCUGAACUUGAAUCAGGUUGAGGUGGGCGGGAUGUGGCAUGUAGCG
rnacentral:rRNA from 1 species